UCGCCCUUAGAGUUUGAUCCUGGCUCAGGACGAACGCUGGCGGCGUGCUUAACACAUGCAAGUCGAACGGGCCUUAACGAAUAGAUUUACUAUGAGCUAAGGUUAGUGGCGGACGGGUGAGUAACACGUGGAUAACCUACCUGACACAUCGGGAUAACACCGUGAAAACAGUGCUAAUACCGGAUACGUUCUUUAGGGCGCAUGGUCUAAAGAAGAAAGGGGGAACCCGGUGACAGAUGGAUCCGCGGCUGAUUAGCCAGUUGGUGGGGUAAAGGCCUACCAAAGCGACGAUCAGUAGCCGGCCUGAGAGGGUGAACGGCCACACUGGAACUGAGACACGGUCCAGACUCCUACGGGAGGCAGCAGUGGGGAAUCUUCCGCAAUGGGCGCAAGCCUGACGGAGCAACGCCGCGUGGGUGACGAAGGCCUUCGGGUUGUAAAGCCCUGUCAAAUGGGAAGAAAGGAAUGACAGUACCAUAAGAGGAAGCCACGGCUAACUACGUGCCAGCAGCCGCGGUAAUACGUAGGUGGCAAGCGUUGUCCGGAAUUACUGGGCGUAAAGGGCGAGUAGGCGGUUAAUUAAGUCAGGUGUGAAAACUGUGGGCUCAACCCAGAGAGUGCACCUGAUACUGAGUAACUUGAGUGCAGGAGAGGGCAGUGGAAUUCCUAGUGUAGCGGUGAAAUGCGUAGAUAUUAGGAGGAACACCAGUGGCGAAGGCGGCUGCCUGGACUGUAACUGACGCUGAGGCGCGAAAGCGUGGGGAGCAAACAGGAUUAGAUACCCUGGUAGUCCACGCCGUAAACGAUG
rnacentral:rRNA from 1 species